CAGGGAGAGGCACCGCGGCGGUAGGGGGCCGGCAGCAAGCUGCGUCGUGUUUUUUUUUUUUUUACUGCCGACCUAAUCCAACGGGGACUUAAACCGGUGGUGAUGGGUUUUAGAACCAGCGGUAAUGACCCAAUUUGUAGCCGUAGUAGUACAUGUAAUAUAAGCACAUGUACAAGUUCUCGUUCCUGCCAGAGCUCCUCCGAAAAAUACUAAGACGGCUACAGUCAGGGCAUGGUCUAAUUAGGUAUGAACCUAUAAUCAUAUGAUGUCUCAUCAGUUGCCAUCAGGCGCGGCACCACAAAUAGGCACAAAUUAAAGUUGGAGAACCAAAUCAUGGCCACACAGAAGAAGAUAACGAUCCUCACCGCACCAUAGCACAUCCACAGGUGCGCACUGUAGUUUCCAUCAUCAUCAUCAUCAGGUCUUCUUUGGUGGAGCUUCACCUUGCUCGAAGCUCCACCACUCUAGCAUGCAGGAGCCGGAGCUAAAUUAUGGCUCCACGGGCACUUAUAGUCUUGUAAGGCCGAGGAGGAGGAGAGAGAAAAACAGUGGAACCACAGAUUAUGGCUCCACGGGCUCUUAUAGUUUUGUAAGGGGAGGGGAAGGAGAAGGAGAAAGAAUUUGGGCUCCGUUUGGUACAGCAGCACUGUAGUUUUGUAAGGAGGAGGAGGAGGAGAG
rnacentral:lncRNA from 1 species